GAUGAACGCUAGCGACAGGCUUAACACAUGCAAGUCGAGGGGCAGCGGGGGUGCAGGCUUGCCUGCACCUGCCGGCGACCGGCGCACGGGUGAGUAACACGUAUGGAACCUGCCCGCCACAGGGGGAUAACCCGGGGAAACCCGGCCUAAUACCCCAUGCCGCCCGGACCGGGCAUCCGGUCCGGGCGAAAGGAGUAAUCCGGUGGCGGCUGGGCAUGCGGCGCAUUAGCUUGACGGCGGGGUAACGGCCCACCGUGGCGACGAUGCGUAGGGGUUCUGAGAGGAAGGUCCCCCACAUUGGAACUGAGACACGGUCCAA
rnacentral:rRNA from 1 species